rnacentral:rRNA from 1 species
GGUUAAGCGACUAAGCGUACACGGUGGAUGCCCUGGCAGUCAGAGGCGAUGAAGGACGUGCUAAUCUGCGAUAAGCGUCGGUAAGGUGAUAUGAACCGUUAUAACCGGCGAUUUCCGAAUGGGGAAACCCAGUGUGAUUCGUCACACUAUCAUUAACUGAAUCCAUAGGUUAAUGAGGCGAACCGGGGGAACUGAAACAUCUAAGUACCCCGAGGAAAAGAAAUCAACCGAGAUUCCCCCAGUAGCGGCGAGCGAACGGGGAGCAGCCCAGAGCCUGAAUCAGUGUGUGUGUUAGUGGAAGCGUCUGGAAAGGCGUGCGAUACAGGGUGACAGCCCCGUACACAAAAAUGCACAUACUGUGAGCUCGAUGAGUAGGGCGGGACACGUGGUAUCCUGUCUGAAUAUGGGGGGACCAUCCUCCAAGGCUAAAUACUCCUGACUGACCGAUAGUGAACCAGUACCGUGAGGGAAAGGCGAAAAGAACCCCGGCGAGGGGAGUGAAAAAGAACCUGAAACCGUGUACGUACAAGCAGUGGGAGCACGCUUAGGCGUGUGACUGCGUACCUUUUGUAUAAUGGGUCAGCGACUUAUAUUCUGUAGCAAGGUUAACCGAAUAGGGGAGCCGAAGGGAAACCGAGUCUUAACUGGGCGUUAAGUUGCAGGGUAUAGACCCGAAACCCGGUGAUCUAGCCAUGGGCAGGUUGAAGGUUGGGUAACACUAACUGGAGGACCGAACCGACUAAUGUUGAAAAAUUAGCGGAUGACUUGUGGCUGGGGGUGAAAGGCCAAUCAAACCGGGAGAUAGCUGGUUCUCCCCGAAAGCUAUUUAGGUAGCGCCUCGUGAAUUCAUCUCCGGGGGUAGAGCACUGUUUCGGCAAGGGGGUCAUCCCGACUUACCAACCCGAUGCAAACUGCGAAUACCGGAGAAUGUUAUCACGGGAGACACACGGCGGGUGCUAACGUCCGUCGUGAAGAGGGAAACAACCCAGACCGCCAGCUAAGGUCCCAAAGUCAUGGUUAAGUGGGAAACGAUGUGGGAAGGCCCAGACAGCCAGGAUGUUGGCUUAGAAGCAGCCAUCAUUUAAAGAAAGCGUAAUAGCUCACUGGUCGAGUCGGCCUGCGCGGAAGAUGUAACGGGGCUAAACCAUGCACCGAAGCUGCGGCAGCGACGCUUAUGCGUUGUUGGGUAGGGGAGCGUUCUGUAAGCCUGUGAAGGUGUGCUGUGAGGUAUGCUGGAGGUAUCAGAAGUGCGAAUGCUGACAUAAGUAACGAUAAAGCGGGUGAAAAGCCCGCUCGCCGGAAGACCAAGGGUUCCUGUCCAACGUUAAUCGGGGCAGGGUGAGUCGACCCCUAAGGCGAGGCCGAAAGGCGUAGUCGAUGGGAAACAGGUUAAUAUUCCUGUACUUGGUGUUACUGCGAAGGGGGGACGGAGAAGGCUAUGUUGGCCGGGCGACGGUUGUCCCGGUUUAAGCGUGUAGGCUGGUUUUCCAGGCAAAUCCGGAAAAUCAAGGCCGAGGCGUGAUGACGAGGCACUACGGUGCUGAAGCAACAAAUGCCCUGCUUCCAGGAAAAGCCUCUAAGCAUCAGGUAACAUCAAAUCGUACCCCAAACCGACACAGGUGGUCAGGUAGAGAAUACCAAGGCGCUUGAGAGAACUCGGGUGAAGGAACUAGGCAAAAUGGUGCCGUAACUUCGGGAGAAGGCACGCUGAUACGUAGGUGAAGCGACUUGCUCGUGGAGCUGAAAUCAGUCGAAGAUACCAGCUGGCUGCAACUGUUUAUUAAAAACACAGCACUGUGCAAACACGAAAGUGGACGUAUACGGUGUGACGCCUGCCCGGUGCCGGAAGGUUAAUUGAUGGGGUUAGCGCAAGCGAAGCUCUUGAUCGAAGCCCCGGUAAACGGCGGCCGUAACUAUAACGGUCCUAAGGUAGCGAAAUUCCUUGUCGGGUAAGUUCCGACCUGCACGAAUGGCGUAAUGAUGGCCAGGCUGUCUCCACCCGAGACUCAGUGAAAUUGAACUCGCUGUGAAGAUGCAGUGUACCCGCGGCAAGACGGAAAGACCCCGUGAACCUUUACUAUAGCUUGACACUGAACAUUGAGCCUUGAUGUGUAGGAUAGGUGGGAGGCUUUGAAGUGUGGACGCCAGUCUGCAUGGAGCCGACCUUGAAAUACCACCCUUUAAUGUUUGAUGUUCUAACGUGGACCCGUAAUCCGGGUUGCGGACAGUGUCUGGUGGGUAGUUUGACUGGGGCGGUCUCCUCCUAAAGAGUAACGGAGGAGCACGAAGGUUGGCUAAUCCUGGUCGGACAUCAGGAGGUUAGUGCAAUGGCAUAAGCCAGCUUGACUGCGAGCGUGACGGCGCGAGCAGGUGCGAAAGCAGGUCAUAGUGAUCCGGUGGUUCUGAAUGGAAGGGCCAUCGCUCAACGGAUAAAAGGUACUCCGGGGAUAACAGGCUGAUACCGCCCAAGAGUUCAUAUCGACGGCGGUGUUUGGCACCUCGAUGUCGGCUCAUCACAUCCUGGGGCUGAAGUAGGUCCCAAGGGUAUGGCUGUUCGCCAUUUAAAGUGGUACGCGAGCUGGGUUUAGAACGUCGUGAGACAGUUCGGUCCCUAUCUGCCGUGGGCGCUGGAGAACUGAGGGGGGCUGCUCCUAGUACGAGAGGACCGGAGUGGACGCAUCACUGGUGUUCGGGUUGUCAUGCCAAUGGCACUGCCCGGUAGCUAAAUGCGGAAGAGAUAAGUGCUGAAAGCAUCUAAGCACGAAACUUGCCCCGAGAUGAGUUCUCCCUGACCCUUUAAGGGUCCUGAAGGAACGUUGAAGACGACGACGUUGAUAGGCCGGGUGUGUAAGCGCAGCGAUGCGUUGAGCUAACCGGUACUAAUGAACCGUGAGGCUUAACCUU